AACGUAGGUGGCGAGCGUUAUCCGGAUUUACUGGGCGUAAAGCGCGUUCAGGCGGCUUGGCAAGUCGGGCAUGAAAUCUCUCGGCUCAACCGGGAGAGGCUGUCCGAUACUGCCAGGCUUGAGGGCAGUAGAGGAGGGUGGAAUUCCGCGUGUAGUGGUGAAAUGCGUAGAUAUGCGGAGGAACACCAGUGGCGAAGGCGGCCCUCUGGGCUGCUCCUGACGCUCAAACGCGAAAGCUAGGGUAGCGAACGGG
rnacentral:rRNA from 1 species